CAACAUUAGAAACAGCUCCGCCAUGUUUGUUUUAGAAUCUCAGGCUCUGACGCUUCGCUACAGCUGACAGAAAGCGGCGGGGACGGACCACACGGCACUCUCAUAUCUUAUUAGGAAAUGAGAUCGCGGAUAAUAUAGGAAACAAAGACCCUUUUGGUCCCAUUUCCAAAUAAGAGUGUCUCCGAUCGGUUUCACGCAGCCUGACAGCAGAGGAAAAUAUGAACGACAAACCCCGACACCCAGGCGGACAGAAACAACAUCACAACAGGCGGCCAGGAGAUGUAGAGUGCAUCAAAGUGACAGAAGACUGAAGGCGUUUGGCAGGUGGAAGCAGAGGAGCAGCAGAUUGAAAGCGGAUUCUACCUUGUAGGCGACCCGGGGAGGGCAUUUCUUCCCCAGACCGAGCGGAGGAGACAUGUCGCGAAGCAGCUCGUACAUGUCACGCAGACGUCCUGUGGAACGCCACCGCGUCAUAGCGCCGCCUCUGUCUGGCGUAGCGCCGCAGGAGGAACCUACCAGGCGGCGGGGUCGUACUCUGCCCACACGCGGAUGAACUCGUCCAGGUGGUGCGGCCCGAGGAUGGAGGCGUCCCGAGUUAGAUACUCAAAGUUGUCCAUGAUGACGGCAACGAACAGAUUCAACAUCUGGGUGAAGAAAAAAAGGACAAGAUGAAGGAAAUGAACAUUUGACCUGAUUGGAUCAGAUAAAACCAGAAGCUUCACCUCGUUCUUCUCCAAGCUGCACUCCGACAUCGCCUUAUCUCCCUGCUCCUGGAAGGUGAUGAUGAUCAAAGCUACAAAAAUGUUGACGAAGAAGAACGGAAACACCACGAAAUAGACCACAUAGAAGAUCGACGUCUCCAUGCGGAAACCCGGGCUGGGGCCCUGGUCUUCGUACGUGGCGUCCACAGAAUGCUUCAGGACCCUGAAAAGAAAAACUCUCUGGAGAUUAUCAAACACUCAGAGAUAAAACGUUUUGUUACGACGCUUUUGUAGAGAUUAAAACGCUUCCUCUACUUCCUUUAGCUUUUACUCAACUCUGCCGGAUAUAUUCCAAAAACUUUAAUCUGCUGAGACGCAAAAUGAAAUGCUGAAAUGCAGCAGUGAGAUAAUCAUCUGCCUUUGUCACUAAAUAUAUAACGGCCCGCCAAAGAGCGUAUUAGAAGAAACAGAUCAGAGCAAAUUAUUUUCUUAUCUUCUAAAGUGGUUCUUCUGGCUCUCUGAAACUCUUUCCAAGUUUUCUUUUGGACGUCGUUUUCAAAGGUUUUCUUAUUUUUUUUUAUUUCCAUGAGUCAUCCACAUAUUCCAGGAAUACAACUUAAAGAAGACUUAGCUGUGUUUCCACUACAAAUGUGCUCAAAACUUUGUUGAUAAAAUAUAAUUUUCCAGUCGUGGUGUUUCCAUUAGAUAAGAAAUGAAAUAUAAAUCAUGUGAAUAAGUUUGUUUAUGUGAUUACUCAUUAAAAAUAUGCAGCGCCAACAUCCU